rnacentral:misc_RNA from 1 species
CAACCAUCAAGCACUGCUUGGUAUUGGAUGCAACUUGCUUGUGCAUCUUAAAAACAUUGGCGGCAGCAUUUAGCUUCUAGCGUAGUAAAUUUCUCGCUCUGGAGCUUAGAUUCAUGCCUGCCAGAACCAUUUCAAA